UUUAAUAUGGCAGAUAAGUGCGGUAAAUUUAAAAUUUACAUAUAAAAAUAAUUUUUUUUUGUUAAAA
rnacentral:tRNA from 1 species